AGUCAUGAGUAAAAUAAGAUUUCGGACGCAAAGACGGGCACCAGGGGUCUCGUUAGGAUUCCGAUCCUGUCCGCAUCAAAUACUGUAAUAUAUACGAGGUGGUCGUAUAAAAACGUACUGAAAUAAUCACGAAGAUCGUUUUUACCCAGAACCAUGGUUCUAGCAUUUUUCAUGUGGACUAAUUUAAAGGAAACUUAGAAAAGUGGCUCAACUCUUGGUUCAGUACAAUAACGAUUCGGUCAAUGCUGGAUACACGGUAAAACACGGGCACUGACCGUGUGCACAGGUUGUAUUUUUGGAAAUGGCUUUAGAAACUCCUUAGCGUUUAGAAAGGUAAAAGCUUAGACCGUUGCUGCUUUACCCGCUCAUAUUUUCUUGACAUUACAGACUUUGAAAUUUUUUCGCACUUCAUUAAGAUCUUGUUACUAUUACUAUUACGUAGUUAGCCGAAGUGUCUCGGCGCAACCGUUUUUAUUGGAAUUGCAAUAUUUUGUACUGGAAUACUUUGUAUGUACUGAAUUGCAAUACUUUGCUGCCCCGAGCCUGGAACUUAUUUAUUAUACCACCGCGUACAGCACAAGCGAUAACUCAGCAUAUAGCUUGAUAUUUUCAUGACCUCCAUCCAGGAGCAUGACCCCGAGACACUUCGAAUAAAUAAUAACUUGCUAAUUCUACACUGUGUGUGUUGUUGCCAUGUUGAAUCGAGACUAACACUCAGCGCUGUGGAAGAACCGUAGUGCGGCGGCUUUCUACUACUCCUUAGCUUGCCGAUACUGCUUUAAGAAAUGAAAAUGCAAUCAUUCCUCACGGUUUCAAAAUUCUAAAUUAAUUUUUUAAAGCAGGAUUUUGUAUUGUUUGUUUUGGUUGUGUAUCGUAUUUUUCGAAAGUAUUUCGUAUUAAUCGCUAAACGAGCAACUGGAUACGCAGUUUUAAAAUUAUUUGCGAUGAAUGACACUUUCCUUUUUGAACUGCUCAUCCCACAGGCCCAAUCCACCAGCGUGACCUACGAUUUUGAAGACUUUCAGACAAGCGGCUGGCAGUGCACAGAUGACUGGCGUCCGGUGGGGGGACUCACUAUCCGCCCGGCUACGACAUCAGCGAUGUCAAGGAGAGUUAUAUGCUGGUCAGCAGCAGCUCCCUGCCCACUCUCAACCAGCCCGCCGCCAUCCUUAUCCGCAACAGCAUCCGGGCAUAUGAGCGUUCCCUCCUGUGGGAAGCCGACAAUUUCAAACAGCUCUAGGUCAACGACGUGGCGCCCUUAUCUUUCGACGAUUCCGCCAAGGUUCCUUGAUUUAAUUAUGUACCAACCCUAUACCCUCCGGCUUGGCCCCCACAGAACCUCUGGCUGUGGCAUUCGGCGGAGAGGUUUCCUGCAGGUUUGAAGCCAAUAACCUGUGAGCCUGGCACAACCUAGCUAGACGCCAGCCUGUGGACGGUGGCCGCCUCGCACAAUAACGCCUCCGCCCACGCUGGCAACUACAUGGCCACGCCCUGCGGCCACACCGGCCGGACACGGACACCAGCUGACAAUCCAGUUCUGUUAUCGCGUCAGUGAUCGCGGUUCCAUUGGCAUCUCGCUGUUCACCAUCACUUUCGAUGUAUAGAAAGUAAGGACACUGGAAGGAAAACGUCGUGGUGACCGGUGCCGCGGAUGCUCCAUCAGUUUAUUAUCGCGUCAGUGGUCGCACCUCCAGAAUACGCUCUUUUCGGUCCGGCACCGCUCGGACAGUGGAAUCCGCAUCGAUCCCCUGCACCGCGCCGGCGACUGUAGCUGACCAGUCUCUUUAUACCACCCAACAGCUUCGUCGCCAUCGACAGCAUCAUGUUACAUGCGAAUACCGGCACGUUGACUUUGAAUAUUUCUGGAAUUUCCAUUUGCCAAAAAAGAUUUCAUUUUUAAAAAAGGUCAGGUCUAAGCGUGCGAGCUCCUGCGCGUAGAUGAUCUAAUUUUUCAAGCGUUGGACGAAGUGGCUGCGGAGUGCGAUUUGCAGGAAGGACUGUUUGGUCGAUGGGAGCUGGUGACAUGUACGUUAACGAUUAACGGAUAGGAGACGUCGGCGGAUUACAGCAGUGUACCGGCACCGUCGCACAAUGAGACCGGAGCACAGGAAGUUGUGUUGACUUUAAAUGUUACGCAUUCGCUGCCGGGAAUUUCGUUUCAGUGGUGGAUAUUGAAAGUUUUGCUACACGAAUGAAAUAUGGUCUAAAUGUUUGUCAUUUGGUUUUGCCGACAUGACAGGAAUUCUUAAAACUGCUGACUAGCGAUCGUAUACCGUAUUUUGUGCGGUGAUCUCGUAGAGUAGUGGCACAAAACAUUCGGUAAAACAGUUAUAUAUGUUCCG